GACGAACGCUGGCGGCGUGCUUAAUACAUGCAAGUCGAGCGGUGAACCCGACUGAAAGCCUUCGGGCUUGACGUUGGGGGAUCAGCGGCGGAUGGGUGAGUAACGCGUGGGUACCUGCCCUAAAGUCUGGGAUAACAACUCGAAAGGGUUGCUAAUACCGGAUGUGACCGAGAGGUUAAAGGCAGAGAUGUCGCUUUAGGAUGGGCCCGCGUCCCAUUAGCUAGUUGGUGAGGUAAGGGCUCACCAAGGCUGCGAUGGGUAGCCGGCCUGAGAGGGUGGACGGCCACACUGGGACUGAGACACGGCCCAGACUCCUACGGGAGGCGGCAGUAGGGAAUUUUCCGCAAUGGACGGAAGUCUGACGGAGCGACGCCGCGUGGGGGAAGAAGGCCUUCGGGUUGUAAACCUCUGUCUUCAGGGACGAAGAGGGUGUGGGAGACACACCGAAGCCGGUACCUGAGGAGGAAGCCCCGGCUAACUACGUG
rnacentral:rRNA from 1 species